rnacentral:rRNA from 1 species
AGCCUGAAUCAGUGUGUGUGUUAGUGGAAGCGUCUGGAAAGGCGUGCGAUACAGGGUGACAGCCCCGUACACAAAAAUGCACAUAUUGUGAGCUCGAUGAGUAGGGCGGGACACGUGGUAUCCUGUCUGAAUAUGGGGGGACCAUCCUCCAAGGCUAAAUACUCCUGACUGACCGAUAGUGAACCAGUACCGUGAGGGAAAGGCGAAAAGAACCCCGGCGAGGGGAGUGAAAAAGAACCUGAAACCGUGUACGUACAAGCAGUGGGAGCCUCUUUUAUGGGGUGACUGCGUACCUUUUGUAUAAUGGGUCAGCGACUUAUAUUCUGUAGCAAGGUUAACCGAAUAGGGGAGCCGAAGGGAAACCGAGUCUUAACUGGGCGUUAAGUUGCAGGGUAUAGACCCGAAACCCGGUGAUCUAGCCAUGGGCAGGUUGAAGGUUGGGUAACACUAACUGGAGGACCGAACCGACUAAUGUUGAAAAAUUAGCGGAUGACUUGUGGCUGGGGGUGAAAGGCCAAUCAAACCGGGAGAUAGCUGGUUCUCCCCGAAAGCUAUUUAGGUAGCGCCUCGUGAAUUCAUCUCCGGGGGUAGAGCACUGUUUCGGCAAGGGGGUCAUCCCGACUUACCAACCCGAUGCAAACUGCGAAUACCGGAGAAUGUUAUCACGGGAGACACACGGCGGGUGCUAACGUCCGUCGUGAAGAGGGAAACAACCCAGACCGCCAGCUAAGGUCCCAAAGUCAUGGUUAAGUGGGAAACGAUGUGGGAAGGCCCAGACAGCCAGGAUGUUGGCUUAGAAGCAGCCAUCAUUUAAAGAAAGCGUAAUAGCUCACUGGUCGAGUCGGCCUGCGCGGAAGAUGUAACGGGGCUAAACCAUGCACCGAAGCUGCGGCAGCGACGCUUAUGCGUUGUUGGGUAGGGGAGCGUUCUGUAAGCCUGUGAAGGUGUGCUGUGAGGCAUGCUGGAGGUAUCAGAAGUGCGAAUGCUGACAUAAGUAACGAUAAAGCGGGUGAAAAGCCCGCUCGCCGGAAGACCAAGGGUUCCUGUCCAACGUUAAUCGGGGCAGGGUGAGUCGACCCCUAAGGCGAGGCCGAAAGGCGUAGUCGAUGGGAAACAGGUUAAUAUUCCUGUACUUGGUGUUACUGCGAAGGGGGGACGGAGAAGGCUAUGUUGGCCGGGCGACGGUUGUCCCGGUUUAAG